rnacentral:rRNA from 1 species
AACGCUAGCUACAGGCUUAACACAUGCAAGUCGAGGGGCAGCAUGGUCUUAGCUUGCUAAGGCCGAUGGCGACCGGCGCACGGGUGAGUAACACGUAUCCAACCUGCCGUCUACUCUUGGGCAGCCUUCUGAAAGGAAGAUUAAUACAAGAUGGCAUCAUGAGUUCACAUGUUCACAUGAUUAAAGGUAUUCCGGUAGACGAUGGGGAUGCGUUCCAUUAGAUAGUAGGCGGGGUAACGGCCCACCUAGUCUUCGAUGGAUAGGGGUUCUGAGAGGAAGGUCCCCCACAUCGGAACUGAGACACGGUCCAAACUCCUACGGGAGGCAGCAGUGAGGAAUAUUGGUCAAUGGGCGCAGGCCUGAACCAGCCAAGUAGCGUGAAGGAUGACUGCCCUAUGGGUUGUAAACUUCUUUUACAAAGGAAUAAAGUCGGGUAUGUAUACCCGUUUGCAUGUACUUUAUGAAUAAGGAUCGGCUAACUCCGUGCCAGCAGCCGUGGUAAUACGGAGGAUUCGAGCGUUAUCCGGAUUUAUUGGGUUUAAAGGGAGCGUAGAUGGAUGUUUAAGUCAGUUGUGAAAGUUUGCGGCUCAACCGUAAAAUUGCAGUUGAUACUGGAUAUCUUGAGUGCAGUUGAGGCAGGCGGAAUUCGUGGUGUAGCGGUGAAAUGCUUAGAUAUCACGAAGAACUCCGAUUG